ensembl:lncRNA
UGGCAUGCUACUCCAGUGUUCUUGCCUGGAGAAUCCCACGGACAGAGGAGCUUCAGACUGUAGGCUACAGUCCAUGGGGUUACAAAGAGUCAGAUGCAACUGAGUGAACUAACAACUUAAAAGAAAUUAGAUAGUAGCUUUCAUUUUUUAAUUUAGAGCAUAAUUUGCCUUGAGUUUUUGAAAUAUUUGCAGUGUCUAAAAGGAAAAACAUGACUAAAUCCCAGCUUUCAAGGCUAAAUACUUAUUAGGAAAUAAUAAUAAAACCAUACCUACUGUGUCUGGGCUUCCCUGCUGGCUCAGUGGUAAAGAAUCCACCUGCCAAUGCAGAAGACAUGGGCUGGAUCCCUGGGUCGGGAAGAUCCCCUAGAGAAGGAAAUGGCAACCCACUCUGGUACUCUUGCCUUCGAAAUCGUAUGGACCGCGGAGCCUGGUGGGCUAGAGUCCACGGGGUCUUGAAACAGUCGGACGUGACUUAGUACUAAAGAACAGCAAUCCACUGUGUUAGAAGAAUCUAAAUUGCCUAUUAGACCAGGGCCCAUGCCUUAAACAAUACCUUUCACUAUUACCAAAGUAAUGUGAUUACUAAAUAUUAUUCACCACAACAUUGUGACAUGUAGGCUUCACAAUGUGAAUGUCAUUGCGCUGCAAUCUUACAAGGCUUCCUUCUUCCCCUGUAGUGAAGAUACACGUUCUGUUUUCUGUGCAGUUAAUACCCACAGUUAGGAGAGCGGCAGUAGUUGUCCUGAAGGUAUACGAGAACUGACAGCAAAUAGAAGUAUUGUAUUUAAUCGCACUCUUAAAUGUCAGUAAUUUUUCCUGACAUCCAUCUGAGACCCUGUGUUAAAUGAAGUAGAAACUUCAAUUUUCCGUAUUUUAUAAGCAAGGAAAUUAGAAUUCAGGUAGGAUAAGUAUCUGGAUGGUCUCAUAGCUAGUCAGUGGGUGUGAACAUGGGUCUUAGCGAUUGCAAAGCCCAGCGUCUUACCUAAUACUCCUCUGCCUCUUUGUGGGCCGUUUAAUAAGCACUUCAUUUUACAUAAGUGAAAUGAUGAAUCAUGCAAUACCAGUACCUUUCGACUUCAAGUCUGGGUUGUCGUUAGAGAUUUAAGAAUAGAAGCACAAGAAGUUCCCUCACCCCACCGCUUCCAGAUACGUCCUCACUCCUCAGUUACUCUCUCCCUCCUGUGGAGGUUAGAUGAUGGCAUCACUUGAGAUGGAAGCGGAGACUGUGAGUCAGGAGCAAAGUUUCCACAGGAUAAGGAAGGUCAACUUGAGAUUAGGCGUGAGGGAGCACAGACGGCUGGACAGUGGGCUUCCAAGGAGCAGUGACUAAGUGCUUAGUUAUGUAUGGAUAUGAGAGUUGGACUAUAAAGAAAGCUGAGCACUGAAGAAUUGAUGUUUUUGAACUGUGGUGUUGGAGAAGACUCUUGAGAGUCCCUUGGACUGCAAGGAGAUCCAACCAGUCCAUCCUAAAGGAGAUCAGUCCUGGAUGUUCAUUGGAAGGACUGAUGCUGAAGCUGAAGCUCCAAUACUUUGGCCACCUGAUGCGAAGAACUGACUCAAUGAUUCUGGGAAAGAUUGAAGGCGGGAGGAGAAGGGGGCAACAGAGGAUGAAAUGGUUAGAUGGCGUCACCGACUCGAUGGACAUGAGUUUGAGCAAGCUCCAGGAGUUGGUGAUGGACAGGGAGGCCUGGCGUGCUGCAGUCCAUGGGGUCGCAAAGAGUCGGACACAACCGAACGACUGAACUGAAUGUGAAUAUAGGGCAAUGCAGAAAGCCUUUCCAAAGAGCGGCCUUAAUAGUUUUGAAUUCUACACGUAAUACUAAUGAAGACCUAUGGCUUUAUCUAACUGUGGACAAAAUAGUGUUUUGUACAGAAAUGAGAGUGGAUUCAAGGCGGAAACAGUGGCAGAGAUUAACAGGCUCUGUGGAGCAGUCUAACAUUAUUUCUCAGUAAUCAGUGCAUAACUUAUCUUGUUUAAUACUUGUCACAAAUUAUUGAUGUAUUGUAGUAAAUACAGAGUAAAAUAUCAAAUAUGCUGAUAACAGUAAUUUUUUUUCACCAUUGUCCUGAAUGGUAGGGCUCGGGGUAAGGAGUUUGGUGGUGACCAAAAAGAUGACAGAGGAUUUGAUGAGUG